UUAUACAGAGUCGUCUGUCUUUGUCAUGGGACAGCCAUGUAAGUCACUAGGACAGCUGCCAAUCUCAAAGACUCCCAGGACACCACUGGGAACGUUGGUUACUCUGCCAAAGCUUUGACUGGAAUGUCAUGUUUGAGAGGGACAUGAGUAGACUCAGAUGCUGAAAGAUGGAACUUUAUUCCAACAAAGACCAUGUGUUCAUGAUGAAUAAGUCACUCACAUUUUCCAGUGCCAAUAAUCAGGUCUUCUCAAUUUUAUAUUUUUGAUUAAUGUGAUUUUCUAGAAAAGAAGCAUUAAAUGUUUGAAACAAUGUGAUUAAAACUGAGAGUAGUCUCUCUUGCUCACGAGCAUGAGAUAUGGUGUGGAAUCUUAAACCAGUGCUGUUUAUUCUCUACUGGCCUCUUUCACUCACCUCCUUGCCUAUCUCAGUACAAGUGCACAGUCCCAGGGCAAGUGGAUAGGGGAGAGCAAGAACUUUUAAACUACACUCAAAACAAAGGUAUCUCCCCAACAAGGAGGAAACACUUGGCUCUAGGAAGUGAGCUUGGAGAAGGAAAUGGAAUGCCUGUGGAAGUUAAUGGUCCAGGAAUGGGAAUACCACCAGGAGAAAGGAAAAGGUCUGCCCAUUUUUUCCCAGCAGCUAUUGGCAGAAAUUUGGGCUCUGUGACUUGAAGGCAAGGAUCAGUCCCGUCCACAGACCUACUG